rnacentral:rRNA from 1 species
GCAUAUCAAUAAGCGGAGGAAAAAGAAACUAACAAGGAUUCCCCUAGUAACUGCGAGUGAAGCGGGAAAAGCUCAAAUUUAAAAUCUGGUGGUCUUUGGCCAUCCGAGUUGUAAUCUAGAGAAGUGUUACCCGCGUCGGACCGUGUACAAGUCUCCUGGAAUGGAGCGUCAUAGAGGGUGAGAAUCCCGUCUUUGACACGGACUACCGAGGCUUUGUGGUGCGCUCUCAAAGAGUCGAGUUGUUUGGGAAUGCAGCUCAAAAUGGGUGGUAAAUUCCAUCUAAAGCUAAAUAUUGGCGAGAGACCGAUAGCGAACAAGUACCGUGAGGGAAAGAUGAAAAGAACUUUGGAAAGAGAGUUAAACAGUACGUGAAAUUGCUGAAAGGGAAACGCUUGAAGUCAGUCGCGUUGGCCGGAAAUCAGCCUUCCUUUUGGUUGGUGUAUUUUCUGGUUGACGGGCCAGCAUCAGUUUUGACCGGUGGAUAAAGUUGUAGGGAAUGUGGCAUCUUCGGGUGUGUUAUAGCCCUGCUUCGUAUACAUCGGUUGGGACUGAGGAACUCAGCACGCCGUAAGGCCAGGUUUCGACCAUGUUCGUGCUUAGGAUGCUGGCAUAAUGGCUUUAAUCGACCCGUCUUGAAACACGGACCAAGGAGUCUAACAUGCCUGCGAGUGUUUGGGUGGAAAACCCGAGCGCGUAAUGAAAGUGAAAGUCGAGAUCCUUGUCAUGGGGAGCAUCGACGCCCGGACCAGAAGUUUUCUGACGGCCCUGCGGUAGAGCAUGUAUGUUGGGACCCGAAAGAUGGUGAACUAUGCCUGAAUAGGGUGAAGCCAGAGGAAACUCUGGUGGAGGCUCGUAGCGAUUCUGACGUGCAAAUCGAUCGUCAAAUUUGGGGUAUAGGGGGCGAAAGACUAAUCGAACCCAUCUAGUAGCUGGGUUCCUGCCGAAGU